ACGACCUUACUUGAACAUGAUCUGUUCUAUAGGCUCGUACCAUUGUAUCCUUGAGUUCUGAGGAGACAGAAAACGAAGUCUGGUUCAUGAGGCGUGGCUUUGAGACCAGAGCGUGAUUAAUAGAGUCUACCAUGGUUAGAUGUAGCAGUAGAGGAUCGUUCUCAGCCCCUGUAAGGGGCGGGAUGGUCUCAUAGGACAGACA
rfam:Nicotiana attenuata strain TT chromosome 3, whole genome shotgun sequence.